rnacentral:rRNA from 1 species
GACGAACCGAGCGAACGUUGUUCGGAAUCACUGGGCUUAAAGGGCGCGUAGGCGGGCGGUCAAGUCGAGGGUGAAAGCCCCCAGCUCAACUGGGGAAGUGCCUCCGAUACUGGCCGUCUCGAGGGGGAUAGGGGCGUGCGGAACUUCCGGUGGAGCGGUGAAGUGCGUAGAUAUCGGAAGGAACAUCGGUGGCGAAAGCGGCGCGCUGGAUCCCUUCUGACGCUGAGGCGCGAAAGCCAGGGGAGCGAACGGG